UACAGAGGGGGCAAGCGUUGUUCGGAAUUACUGGGCGUAAAGGGCGCGUAGGCGGCCUUCUAAGUCAGACGUGAAAUCCCCGGGCUCAACCCGGGAACUGCGUCUGAUACUGGAGGGCUUGAAUCCGGGAGAGGGAUGUGGAAUUCCAGGUGUAGCGGUGAAAUGCGUAGAUAUCUGGAGGAACACCGGUGGCGAAGGCGGCAUCCUGGACCGGCAUUGACGCUGAGGCGCGAAAGCCAGGGGAGCAAACGGG
rnacentral:rRNA from 1 species